rnacentral:lncRNA from 1 species
GGCGCGAAGCGCCUUUCGGGGCGGCGAGGCCCCCGGAGUUCACUGCUGUCUGUCAGUCAGUCAGUCAGCUCAAUUCAUAGUUCAGCGUGGCAUGCGAGUUCGUCAUGAGACACGACGCUGACUGCAUUUAAAAGCUACUACAAAUUCUAUCGAUUCACCGAAGAAAUUCAUUCACUGUGCGCGAAGUAGCUUCCCGCGGGCCACACUGCUCGCGGCCUCGCACCGCUCAACUGAGAAUUGCAUCUAUAAGCUUCUACAUUCCUCCAUCGACCACCAACGAAUUAAUUCACAAACAUCUGUGCGGAAAAAUAGCUUUCCGCGGCGUUGGCUUCCCAGACGCCAAAGGGCCCCGGCCUCAAAACGCAUCCUCAACGCGCCAUCGCGAGUCCCAUACCAACCAGUAGUGCGCGAACCCAGCCCAUUGCUAGUCGAUCUGGAGAACAUGACAUUUUGAAGUGUUCGUGAGACAGAGUAAAAGGCAAGAUGGAAAAUGCUGGAGCAGUUGGCAUGGAUUACAGCCAUGGGCCGCGGAAUGCUAUCUUCGCGCACAGAUUUAUGUGAAUUAAUUUCUUCGGUGAAUCGAUAGUGAAUUGUAGCUACGAAAUAUAGUAGUUAUUCAAUCUAGUAGCUAUCAAAUGCAAACCUUAGUUAAUUGCGGCAUGCGAGUUCAUCAUGAGACACGCACGACGCUAACUGACUGACUGAUUAACGGACGGACGGACAGGAGUGAACCCCGGUUCGGUUACCGGGUCAUUAUCUCGGAAUGUUGGUUAUCCUACCGAAGCUAACCGGCCGGUUACCGACCCUUUUAUGCCAUAGGGGUGCGGUGUGCGGUGCACGCUGCGGUGCACGCUGCAUCUGCUCAUGCUGCUUUGAUUGCUGUGCGGCCGCGCGGUUUCCUCGCUCUUUCCUUGGACUUCCCUGGAACAGCUAUUUAUGGCUCAGCUCCGCAACUCCAGCCCUUAUAAUGCCGACUGCUC